GAGGGGUGCAAGCGUUAUUCGGAAUUAUUGGGCGUAAAGGGUGUGUAGACGGCGUAUUAAGUCAAUUGUUAAAUUCUUCGGGCCUAACCGAAGGGUGAGCGGUAGAAACUGAUAUGCUAGAGGGUGGAAGAGAGAAGUGGAAUUCUCGGAGUAGCGGUAAAAUGCGUAGAUCUCGAGAGGAACACCAAUGGCGAAGGCAGCUUCUUAGUCCAUUCCUGACGUUGAGACACGAAAGCGUGGGGAGCAAACAGGAUUAGAUACCCUGGUAGUCCACGCUGUAAACGAUGAUCACUAGACGUUAGUCCUGUUCUACAGGAUUAGUGUCGUAGCUAACGCGUUAAGUGAUCCGCCUGGGGAUUACGGUCGCAAGACUA
rnacentral:rRNA from 1 species